rnacentral:rRNA from 1 species
UACGUAGGGUGCAAGCGUUGUCCGGAAUUAUUGGGCGUAAAGAGCUCGUAGGCGGUUUGUCGCGUCGGGAGUGAAAACUCAGGGCUCAACCCUGAGCGUGCUUCCGAUACGGGCAGACUAGAGGUAUGCAGGGGAGAACGGAAUUCCUGGUGUAGCGGUGAAAUGCGCAGAUAUCAGGAGGAACACCGGUGGCGAAGGCGGUUCUCUGGGCAUUACCUGACGCUGAGGAGCGAAAGUGUGGGAGCGAACAGG